rnacentral:rRNA from 1 species
ACGGAGGGGGCAAGCGUUAUUCGGAAUUAAUGGGCGUAAAGCGCGCGCAGGAGGUGCGAUAAGUGGCAGGUGAAAUCCCUCGGAUGGACCGGGGAACCGCGUGCCAAACGUUCGCGCUUGAGGCUGGCAGGGAAGAUCAGAAUUCCUUGUGUAGCGGUGGAAUGCGUAGAUACCAAGAGGAACACCGUUGGCGAAUGCGUCUCUCUGGACCAGAUCUGACACUCAUCCGUGAAAGCGUGGGUAGCUAAAAG